CCUACGGGGGGCUGCAGUGGGGAAUAUUGGACAAUGGGGGGAACCCUGAUCCAGCCAUGCCGCGUGUGUGAAGAAUGCCCUCGGGUUGUAAAGCACUUUCAGUGAGGAAGAACGCCUGGUGGUUAAUACCCAUCAGGAAAGACAUCACUCACAGAAGAAGCACCGGCUAACUCCGUGCCAGCAGCCGCGGUAAUACGGAGGGUGCGAGCGUUAAUCGGAAUUACUGGGCGUAAAGCGCGCGUAGGUGGCUUGAUAAGCCGGUUGUGAAAGCCCCGGGCUCAACCUGGGAACGGCAUCCGGAACUGUCAAGCUAGAGUGCAGGAGAGGAAGGUAGAAUUCCCGGUGUAGCGGUGAAAUGCGUAGAGAUCGGGAGGAAUACCAGUGGCGAAGGCGGCCUUCUGGACUGACACUGACACUGAGGUGCGAAAGCGUGGGUAGCAAACAGGAUUAGAUACCCUUGUAGUC
rnacentral:rRNA from 1 species